GCGUCCAUAGUAUAAUGGUAUUAUAUGACCUUGCCAUGGUCGAGAUGCGGGUUCGAUUCCCGCUGGACGCUCCA
rnacentral:tRNA from 1 species